GGACACACCACAUGCCAAUCAACAUUUGGUGCACUGCCAGCUGGCUGGUCGGAGGACACAGCACAUGCCCAUGAACAUUUGGACCCUCCCAACUAACCAAUGCACACCUAAAUUAUUGUUCACCUUAAUUGGAUUAUCUCGCCCAGCCCCAUGCUAUACAAGGUGAGACUUGUCCUUGGCUCGCUCUCUCUUACAGACCACCUCAUUGCAGGUAAGAGCAUUGAUUUAUGUUUGGGAAGGUCUAUCGUUUGUCCUGGUAAGGGAGCCGCGGCUAUCCAAGGUCAAGGGGGAUAGCUAUCGUAGUGUUUUUCCCUUGUUCUUUGUGUAACCGUACCCUGUCCCCACACCGCUUCCUGUGUAUUGUAGUUGCUUGUCUUGACCCGACUUCCCCUUGUAAAUAAAUCCCUUAUUAUUAAAACUGUGUGUGUCCAGGCCUCUACUGUUGAGACUCAAAGAACCAGUUAUUUUCCAUCACAACCCCUGCAUAGCGUUGGAAGAAUGGUGGGUAUUCAGAUAGUUGCAAUUGAAGAUAAUUCUGUGUUGAUGCUUUUUUUUUCCCUGAAAACUUCUUACAGUCAAUUUAACGGCGAUCGUGAUCCUAUCUCGGGGGAAAAUGCGGACUCUCCAAAUGCAUCACCCGUUACCAUGCUGGAAUGGCGACAGCGGAUCUGAUGGUGGUUCUCCGUUUCGCUUUGGUGGAUCAGACUAACAAAAUCUGCAUUUAUUCCAGAUCCCUGCUCCUCACUCCUGUAUGCCCUCUGGCUCUUGUAUUUCACGUUGUCACCGGGGACUGUUCUGUUUGGUUUACAGUCAGUUUUACUUUCGAUCGUUUCAUCGCGAUAAACCGGAAUCCUCGGGAACGAUACUGCACUGAGAGAACAGCAAGAGUCGUCAUGGUGACCGUUGUUAUAGUGAGCUGCGGGAGAUGUGUCCCGUUUAACUUUGCUGUUGAACCUUACGUCAUCACUGACAACACGUCGUGGCGGUGCGCCCCCGUGUGGAGAGGAUACGAAGUGUUGGACCGCAUUUUAACACUGUUGCUACCUAUCGGCUUAAUUCUGGUGUUCAAUGCGUUAACAGUGAGACCUAUCAUUGUGGCAAAUAGAGUCCGCAGAGGUCUUCGGAACAGCAGUGAAAAUCAGCAGGAUACCGAGAGAGAAAACCGCAGAAAAUCGAUGAUUUUGUUGUUUGCUGUAUCAGCUAAAUUCAUUUUAUUUUGGAUACCCUAUGCAGGUCAUUCCUUGAAAUAGCAAACGGAAAACUAUUUGUAUCAGGACAGAUAUUUGAAUUCCCCGGUAUAUACACUACAACAACUUGGGUUCAUGUUGCAAAUUCUGAAUAUGUGCACCAAUACUAGUAUCUACACACUGACACAGAGGAAAUUCGGAAAGGAACUGAAGAAUGGAAUGAAGGAAUAAGUGGUGAAAUUUGACGAGCUGUGUCGAUAGGAUUGUCUUUGUUCGGGGAACGGAAAAGCGGUACUGUGGACGAUACCGAGAUUCCUCGAUGGUAUGCGGUCGUUAUCGUCACCAGGAUAUCGGUGCCUUUAACUCAUCUGCCUUUCCUACGACAUUUCCGGCAUUGGAACAUGCGCUGCUAUGCACAUUUGCCUCACAGACCAAGCCUAUGUCUCCGCAGUCACAGAUGAAACGGAUAAGACAGGCCAAAGGGGCUCUGGUAAAGCUCUUUACGCCCAUUCCCUGCACAGUUGAUGGAGCGCUGAUGAGUUCCAACCAUACGGCCAACCCCAAAUGGACGAUGGAGAUCAGAGAUAUCGAUGGCCUACAAGCCACUUUCG